UACGGAGGGUGCAAGCGUUGUCCGGAAUCACUGGGCGUAAAGGGCGCGUAGGCGGCUCAUGAAGGCUGUGGUGAAAGUCCGGGGCUCAACCCCGGGUCGGCCGUGCGGACUGCCGGGCUGGAGCACUGUAGAGGCAGGUGGAAUUCCGGGUGGAGCGGUGAAAUGCGUAGAGAUCCGGAGGAACACCGACGGCGUAGGCAGCGCCCUGGCCGUUUCCUGACGCUGAUGCACGAAAGCUGGGGGAGCAAACAGG
rnacentral:rRNA from 1 species